UUGGAGGGCAAGUCUGGUGCCAGCAGCCGCGGUAAUUCCAGCUCCAAUAGCGUAUAUUAAAGUUGUUGCAGUUAAAAAGCUCGUAGUUGAAUUUCGGGGUUAGUAGGCUGGUCAUGCCACCGGUAUGUACUGGUCUUUCUGAUUCCUCCUUCCUGAUGAACUGUAAUGCCAUUAAUUUGGUGUUGCAGGGAAUCUGGACUGUUACUUUGAAAAAAUUAGAGUGUUUAAAGCAGGCUAACGCUUGAAUACAUUAGCAUGGAAUAAUGAAAUAGGACGUUCGAUUCUAUUUUGUUGGUUUCUAGGAUUGACGUAAUGAUUAAUAGGGAUAGUUGGGGGCAUUAGUAUUCAAUUGUCAGAGGUGAAAUUCUUGGAUUUAUUGAAGACUAACUACUGCGAAAGCAUUUGCCAAGGAUGUUUUCAUUAAUCAAGAACGAAAGUUAGGGGAUCGAAGACGAUCAGAUACCGUCGUAGUCUUAACCAUAAACUAUGCCGACUAGGGAUCGGAUGAUGUUAAUUUUUUAAUGACUCAUUCGGCGCCUUACGGGAAAC
rnacentral:rRNA from 1 species